UACAGAGGGUGCGAGCGUUAAUCGGAAUUACUGGGCGUAAAGCGCACGUAGGUGGCGACGUAAGUCGGGUGUGAAAGCCCCGGGCUCAACCUGGGAAUUGCAUUCGAGACUGCAUUGCUGGAGUACGGAAGAGGAAGGCGGAAUUCCCGGUGUAGCGGUGAAAUGCGUAGAUAUCGGGAGGAACAUCAGUGGCGAAGGCGGCCUUCUGGUCCAGUACUGACACUCAAGCGCGAAAGCGUGGGGAGCAAACAGG
rnacentral:rRNA from 1 species